rnacentral:rRNA from 1 species
UGGGGAUGACGUCAAGUCAUCAUGGCCCUUACCGGCCUGGGCUACACACGUGCUACAAUGGUCGGUACAAAGGGUUGCCAAGCCGCGAGGUGGAGCUAAUCCCAUAAAACCGAUCGUAGUCCGGAUCGCAGUCUGCAACUCGACUGCGUGAAGUCGGAAUCGCUAGUAAUCGUGAAUCAGAAUGUCACGGUGAAUACGUUCCCGGGCCUU